GGAGUUCUUGUAACCUAUUGAAAUCCACACGCAGGUUGGGAAAUAUAAAACCCACUUGCUCAUUCUGUACUCUUUAAAUAAUGCAAAAAUGUUAGGGCCAUCCGCUGAAGCUGCGUCUAAACGAGAGUGAGAUGGGGAAGAAGAGCUGCUGAUGGCAAAUUCACCUGGGAGUGGAUGUUGAGCCCAGAUGCUUCUCAAUCUUGCCCAUCCCCUUCAAUGGAAAAAGGGCUUCUGAACAGCGCCAGUCAUGGACAAAUCCCAACAUCUGCAUUCAGUCAUUUUGAAACUGAGGUUCAAGCUGAUGAGCCUGCCAGGCUGCAGAGAUCCCACAAGGCAGGGAAACCUCUUUCAGAAAAGUUCUCCACAGCCUGCACAAAAUGUUUCAAUUUGGGGAAUACUUUGGUUAUCUUGCCUAUUAUUGUUAAAGAAGCGGAAUACAGUCACUUUAUUGUAACUUUAGUCCUAUGGCUGGAGGAACACCAGGCUCCACCAGCCUAACUGUUCACCUGCUAUCAGUUUUUUCUUCUGUUCCUCCUCUCUUCUUCCCAAUUCCCUCCACAGCCUUCUAAUUAUGAAUCUGCCACAGCUGCCACUCCAGCAGAUUCCUGCUCCAACAGUGUUCCAUAGGGCUCUUGGUAAGGGACUAUGUUCAUAAUGAAACAUUGUAUGAAAGAAGGGCUUUCAGGGGCCUCAAAACUUUUAUCAACACCAUCCCUCACACACACACACACACACACACACACACACACACACACACUUCUUGUCUUGUCUUUUUGCUGCCCCACAUUUUUAAAAGUGCCUCCUUGCUGUUUACAUAAUCUAUUCUUAGCCAACUGAGGGUCAUAUAUGGCAUUAUCAAAUAGAUAUAACCUAUGUCACAUAGGAAAUGUUGUCCUCACUCAGAGUGGAUUUCACCACAUUGGCAGCCGCACAAAUCACCACUUCCUUUGGAGGGAAGUGUUUGCCAAAAGUAUCCCAUUUUGGCUAAGCUCUAUUUCUUAGAUUUCCUCACGACUCCUCGCCCCACCAAAACACACAAACACACACACACACACACAAACACCAGUCAAGCUGUCUUCUUAGCUGUGUCUUUUCUUUCAGUGUGUAGGUAAAUGUUCUGGUAAUAAAUUCAGAGAUAUGGAGUCCUAAAUGAGCUUUCUCUCUAGUAAGUGUUGGGACAAAAACUACUAACCAGUUCCCAUCUGGUUGGCUGUGUAGCUGCGAUGAGGCAAGGAGGACAGAAAGGUUAAUUCACCAGCAGGUCUCUGUCUUGUAAAUGCCUCCUUUUGCAUUAGUCUCCUGCUUUCUGAUCUGUAAGCUUAAUGGGAUCAUGUAGCUUUGGGCACCCUGACUGAACUGUGUAGAUCUAGUGAAUGUAGUACUCUCUUCCUCCUGUUAAAAACAGCUGAUGGCUGUAAGUUGGAGUCCUUGUGGAAACGGAGCUUUCAUAUCAUAUGCUUCCAUCUCAGUUUCUGUUGUCCACAUUUUCACUUACAGUAUGUAAGACUUGCUUAAAUCCUAGCAAUCACAGAACACUGCUUUGUGGCAAACACAUCAACUCAUCGUUUAUAGUCCAUGCAAUGCUUGUUGACUUCUUAAGCCUACUGAUUUCAGUGGGGUUUAAUCCCAUGGAAGUAGACAUCCAAUUGCAGCCUUAGAGUUCAACUUGAUGGGAAAUAUGACACUGAGUUUCCAUUGUUUAAUUAAAACAAAUAGCUGUGGGAGAUAUCCAGAUCAGGACUAUGUGGAAGUGUCACACACACACACACACACACACACACACACACACACACACACACACACCAGUCAUUUUGUGAUGAGAUUCACCACCCGGAAGGAGCUUUCUGUAUGAGUGUAAAUAGCUGCUUCUCUCCUGGGACAAAUAGCAGCAUCAGCAGGGGCAGUUUUUGUUUGGAAAAGGGUGCCAGAGGAAACUCUCCAACUUUGUGCUGCACUCUGGAUCAGGGGCAUAUGUAACACAACUGCGGUAUAACAAAAUUAAAGAUGGCAAUGCAAUGA